CCCCCUGCCCGUGGUCUCGCUGCAGUGACAGUGGCAGGGUUGGGAACAUGGUGAGCAGGCUGUGAAUGUCAGCACAUUGUUCCUAGUGAGAUACGUGUCAUGUCGCAUUAGCUCAGGCCGACAGCUACCGGUGGGAAAAUACUUCUGUGGGUUCCUCGAAGUGCCCCCACCUCCUACAGGCAAGGACUUGUGCCCAGCAAGGCAGCAGCAGAGCUGUGCCCAGCCACACUGCGGGAGCAGUGAGACCAUCUGGUGCCCGAGUACGUGGAAAGUCACCCGAGUGUCGUGUCCAAAGGGCGAGCUGCCUGUGCUGGGAGAAUUCUCAUGGAGAGGGUCUGGCUGUUCAGAAGACAAAGCUCAGUUUUAUUUCUUUAUUUCUCUGCUCAGGGAAGAGGAGGUGGGGUUAGCAUGACUUAUUUGGUGAAAUCCACCGUGCCCAGAAUGAAGGGAGCAGCUGACAGUGCUGGGAGCUGAGGAAAUCCUCUCGUUCCUGCCUGCAGGCUGCAGAGGUCAGGAGCUGGAAGUGUGCUGCAUGGCUCAGGAGCAUUUAGAGCAGGACAAGGCAGUCCCUUGGGAGUGCAAGGAGCCACUCAGCACUACACAGCCAUGUAAUGGUGCAAGGAUGGAGCUGAACUGGGCUGCUGUGGGGUAAGGAUAAGACAGGUGGGAGGAUGUUGGCUCACACAGUGGAGGGACUGACUCCAGCCUGAGGGCAGAGCCCCAGGGCUUCACUGGACUGAGAAGCUUUUUGGUGAUGCUCCCUCUUUAAGUUCUCAUGCCCUCAUCUGCAGAAGCAUCUCUUCACCUAUCCCUGGGGCUCCUGUGUGCCCCUUGCAUCUCCCUCGAUGCUCUCAACUCACAGCUCCCUUCUGCCUGGGCUGGCCCUGCCCUGCCCUGCCCUGCCCUGCCCUGCCUGCUGUGCUGGGGGCUCCAGCCUCGAGCUCUGCCUGCUCUCCUGACAUUCUCACUUCAGCAUCAGCUUUUCUGAGCCUUCCCUCUUUAUUUUCUUCCAAUGUCAGAAAGGUGAGGAGGUCAAACGCUAAUGCAGUAUUUCUUUCCUUUUGUAAAGUGUACCUAGCAGAUGAGGAGUGUCAACACCGAUUUGUUUUUCAAGUGUUUCUGCAGGAUUAUUUUCUUGUUAAAAGUGACAAGGAGGUGCAGAACUGUCGGCCUUUAGCCAGAGAUGUCAUCUCGUCUUUGUGUAGGUGAACAGGCACAAGAUGACAGAGCACCUUCUUGUGGGAAAGAUGAAAAGUUGAGCCCAAUUUAAUAAUUUCCUUAAAACCCAAAAGGAGCAUAUGCGCCUUCUCUUUUCCUGAUCCUCAGUAAUGAGAAGCUGGAGAGAGGAGGACCCUGUUAAGCCACAGUCAGUGCAGUGUGUUUGUGCAGAACUGCUCUCAGUACCAAGGGGAUGGUUUGAACAGCAUUGUUCAUCUGUGGCAUUUCCAAGCUCCUCUGCAUCUUUUGACAGCAGAAUCUGAUGAUGGUUUCAGCACAGAUAAGGUGCUCCUGUAUAGCUGGCAGUUUGGACCAUGGGGAAAGCAUUCUGGGCUUCAGCUGUGCUCUCAGGACCUGCCCAGGGAGUUGCCCUGUGCUGGGUGCUGCCAGUUUGACACAGCUGAGCCCCCUUGCAGCUCCAUGGAGGGGCUGGCUUUUGUUCUGGUUGCAAGCUGGAAGCCCAGCACUUGGCUUUCUCUGGCCAGGGCUGAGGAGGAGGAGGGAGCAUGUGUGGGUUGGAGGUGUGAUCCUGCUCCUUGGUCUCCCUGGCCAUGGGCUGCCCUUCAGCUUGUGGCACAUUUCCCAGCACCAGGGAGUGGAGGAGACUGAACACUCGCUUGGGUCCCUGGUGCUGAUUUUUUCUGGCAGUUAGAGACUGACAACUGACUUGCCAUUUGAUGUAGUCAUUAAGGGGCUGGCUGUGCUUCUGAAACCCUCUCCCCCUCUGCUCUGCACAGCCUCUGAUGACCCCCCAGGACAAGGAGCGUUGCUGAUCAGUGUUAUUGAGUCUGGGUGGAGCUGAGGGGGCUGCACUCCUGUGGAUGGCAUUGGCUCCAGCACACAGACUGAAGCUUGGGUGGUGUAACACAGCACAGCACCAGUCCUGGGGCUGGUGUGGGACCAGGUUUGGGGUUUGUCAUCUGGUCAGCAGAGAGGCAGAUUGGAGAGUCCAGGAUGGCUGGAGAUGUGGCUGGGCUCCAGUUCCCCAGACCACAUCUCCUCUGCUGGAUUCAUGCUGGCUCACUCUGGUCACCCUCACUGCUCCAGGGGAGGUGUCAGCCAGAUGUGUGGAGGGGCAUGAAUCAGUGCAUUCUUUUGUCAUGUUUCCAAGUCUAGAAAUUCAGCAACUUUGGAGAAAGUUGUAUUUAGAGGAGCAAUAAAAAGGCAACUGACUCACAUGGAAACAACAUCAGCGGAAUAAAAGGGGAGAGGCUUGGAUUGCUGCAAGGAGACUCUGUUGGGGGGAUAUGUUUAGUUCUGUGGUGGUGGACAUGCAAGUAUUGAAGCACCCAAGAUGAGCCUGGCCUUGUCCAGAAAUUAAUUAACAGAAGUAAGUAACGUAUAUCCACCUUCCCAAGAGUUCUGGCUUUGUUAACAGUGAUAUCACGUUUUGCUUUUAAUAGUUUUUGUGAUCUCUGGGCAAAGUAUUUUUUUUCAAAUCGAGAUAAUUCUUUUGUUUGAAAAAAACACCCUAAAAGCCCUGAAGUGACCUUUCAUUCUAAGUGAAGGAGCAGGCAGGCUGAUGGCUUUUUCAGAUAGCAAAGUCAGGGCAGAGCAGCCCGUGCUGGCCAGCACUCAGAGGAGGGAGCACUGCCGGCAGCGCACACUUGGCCCUAUUGUCUCUGCUUGUAUGGACUAGUCAGUGGGAAAUGAGGUAUUUCCUCCUUGCAGCCUUCUCUCUUGGAGUGCUGGAGGCUGGAUCCUGCCCUGCCCUGCGCCACGGUGCAGCUCUUGCAGCGCCUGGCUUUGGGGAGGUGAUUUCUGUAGGAGCAGGAUCAGCCUCUCCACCAGGUGUCUGGGAGGCUGUGACCCUCUGGGGCUGCUGGGGCAUCGUUAUUUAAACAUGUUCUGAUUAGCCUGCACUGUAAAUCCAGCAUUUUAAUUCUUUCCAUAUGUAAGAUCCAGUCUAAUAAGCCAAAGUUUAAGACCAUGCAAUCUAUUUGGAAUAACCAUAUGGAUUAGGAGUCAGACUGUGCUUUUCUGCUUCUUGUAUUUACACUAAUAGAGAGACAGUUGCUAAUGUGCAUGUAGCUUGUGCUGGUACCCAUUUUUUUAAAAUAUGACACCAAAUGGCUUGCAUUAAAAUAUUUGAAAAGCAGUAAAACUGUGAAAGUUUCUCUCUUGCGCAGACACAGACACAUCUGCGAAAUGAGGCUUCUCCAGGCAGCAACAUUCCUGUCCCUCCCUGUAGGCUUAUCAGUGGGGCUGGAGACCCCUGCAGGGUGCUGGGCCAGCCCAGUUCCCUCCCAGCUGCACCUGCUGGGCCAGUGUAGAUCCCCUGGGCAUGAGGGAGAGCAGCUUUUGGGGCAAGGAGGACCUGGCUGGAUCCAGACCCCUCCUGUAAGUCAGGACCUUGUGGCUAUGGAGAGCCUGGUGCUGCCUAUGCUUGGUUGGUUUGGCACAUGGUGCUGACUGUGGUGUUGUCACCCCUGACUCUCAGGGCAGAUUCCAGCUGGGGUUCACCCAGCUAAUGCCCUCCCAUGGGCCAGAGAGAGGUGUGGAGAGAGGAGCAGCAGAGCUGGGAGCUGGCCACUUGGUCAGCUACUGAGGUCUUUGCAUUCAUCAGUCAUUUAUUUUACGGCCAUUUCUUGGUUUUCUUGGGCAGAUCCCCCAGUCUGAGUCUUUCUUGGUCUUUGUGUUCCUCUCUCUUUACAUUGCUAUGGAUUUGAAAUACUAUUUCAAAAGAAAACCAGCAGUGCUCUGCUUUUGAAACUUUGUUCUUGUGCUCUGAAGUAAACAUCCCUCAGGAGGUCAAACAAGCUUUUGCUGGUCACCUCUUCUGCAAUGACCUGCCAGCACUGGGGCUGGUGGUGGGGUUUAUGGGCUGUCACAGGACCCCCAGCCCCUGCCAGUGUCCAACAGGCUUGCGACUUAAUGUAACCUUUCUGUCUGUACUUCAUCCACUGCUUGUUUCUUGUCAACGAAAUAACCACCUUGUUAUGUCCCUGAAGCUGAUGGGACAGGGACAUUGGGAAUGAGGCUGCUGAGGAGGCUCCAGCGUGUGUUCCCAAGGUGAGGACAGUCACUUUGCUCACUCCUCAUCACCUCUAGUGUCCUCUGGAAGGGGAGUGACCUGGGCUCCCCCUGCUUUGGGCAGGUGGGUACUGCCUCAGGGGCUCUCUGAGGCACAGAUCUGGUGACCAAACAUAGCCAGAAGCCUCUCCCCUCUCUUCGAGAUGUUCCUUGGAGAAGGUGUUUUAGCUGAGGGCAGGAGCCUGUGCUGCUGGCUGAUCCCAGGGCACCAAGAGCAUCCGGCCCAGGUUUACAAAGCAGUUGGCUCAUCAUGGGAGCUGGAGUUGGACCUGGGUCUGCGCGAGCCUGGAAAGCAUUUCCGAGUGGGAGUUGCACUCUGUCAUCCUUCAUUUGCUCAGACAGAGAGGAGGGAGUCAGCGUGAGACAUGGCAACUUCUUCCUCCCUGUCUCCAGCAUUAAUCUAAAUGCCAAAACUCAGACCCUUUGGAAUGCACUGGUGCUGUGGAGAGCACCAGGACACAGAAAUCUCCUCAGGUAGGCUUCAGGCACCCAGUGCUGCCCUGCAGGAGCAGGGGAACGCUGUCAGCACGCUGCUGCUCCUGCCCCUGCUGGGCCAUACUGAGGAGCUGAUGGGCUUGGCUGCCUGAGGUGAGCAGGGAGCCUGGAGAGACAUUCCCAGUGCUGGGCUGGAAGUGGUUUAUUGAAUGGAAAGGAUCAUAUUACACUCAAUUUUUGCUGAGUUUAUCUUGGUUUUUAUCAGAUUACAUGCAGGAUAGCUCAUCAAUAUUGUGAUCCUGCUGACAUGUAAGUGAGCCGCUGCAUAAUUCAUGGCUGCUGCAGGGCUCCAGCACUGGGAGGCACAUAUUUAAUUAGGCACCUCACCAUUCCAGUCUUCUGGAGCAGCACCCGUGGAGAUGGAUGUGGUGGCCCUGCCUGUGCAGCUCCUGGCUGCCUUGGAGGAACCAUGCUGGCACUGUCCCUGGUCCCAGCUUGGAGUCAGAGACACUGUGUCACGGCAUCAUGGUGAGCAGCACUUUCCAACAGGCUCCUAGAGAGGGGAAAUGUCCUGGCACAGGUGAGAGAUCCUCCCUCUCAGGUGCUCUUUGGAGAGCAGGGGUGGGGAUGAAUGAGGGGUGCAGCAUAUCUUUGCACUCCUGUCAGCUCUAACGUUUAACUCUGAGAAUCCACAUUAUCCAUGAAAACACCCUGGCUUUGUCAGUCUUUUCAAGUUCAGAUUCCUUCUACAGUGAAAUCUGGAGCUGAAUUAUGUGUUUUGUGGCAAAAUCUUCCUUAACAGCUGUAAAUUUCUCACUUUGGUCCCACUCAAUCUCCUUUAUCUUGGGCUGGAGAACCAAGUCACUGCCUGGCUCUGCUGCCCCUCUCCUGACCACCCCAGCUCUCUGGGAUCAUGAUGGGACCCCUGCUCAGAACCUCCCUCCCAUGGCAAGCAGAAUCCAGCAGGGCAAGGACCAUCCCUGGGCUUCAGCAAUGGACCCUUCCCAGCACUGGCCUCUUCUCUGGCUGUGUCCAAGGCAGUGUGUGUAUCUUCUUCCUCUCACAGUGUGCUUGAAAAUAUAUCUGGGAUAGGAAGAAUUCUUUUCCAUUUUUGUGGUGCUUCCCUCCAUUAAUUUUCUGGUUGUAGUACAUUACUCAUGGAUAAUUAAGAGUGAGCUAUUAAUACAACAGUUAAUAUUCAAGUGCAGUGAAGAGGAGAGAACAAUAAGUCAAGGAAUCAUAUACUACAAGACAUUUUAGUUUAGUGAUGCAAUUUUUUUCUGCUGGCUUUGGCUAUCAGAGCAUAGUGCUGCUUCCAUUUAAGUAUGGUCCUGAGAACUCCAUUUAUUGAUAGAAUACAAAUAGGACAUUAAAUCAAGGGAAGUGAAUUUGAAUUGCUGGUCAUAUAUACAAUUAUAAACGGGAUUGGCUACUUCUAUCUAGUAUCUUGUAUCUUAAGUUAGGAGAAUUAUGUUAGGGACUGCUAAAGAGAGCUUGAAGUGUCUUAAAAUUAAUGAGAUUUAAGUCUGUCUAGGAAUAAAAAAGAAUUAAUGCUAAAAUAUAGCUCUUGCUUUAGGAUGAAAAGAUGGCUUUAGAGAAGUGGUGGUGCCUUGUCCAGAUGGAGGAAUGUGGGGAGGAUGGGCUGUGACCAGUAUCAAUUAACACAUCUCAGCCUUAAGUUCUCCUCCCUGCCCUGCCAUCCUCACUGGGAUGGAUGGAUGGAUGGAUGGAUGGAUGGAUGGAUGGAUGGAUGGAUGGAUGGAUGGAUGGCAGCUGCAGAGAGGAGAGGGGGACAGUCCCCUGUGCCUGGCUGAAGGGUGGCUAUGAUAGAGCUCACCACCCUGUUCACCACCCUCCUCCCUUUGCAGUCCUGUCUGGUUGCUCCCAGCACUGCUCUGCACCACCCAGCGAUGUACCUGCAGAGCCCCCAUCACGGUGUUUUGGGGGGGUCACCGGGAGCAUUCCCCUGUCCCCCAGAGACCAGAGGUUUGGGUGUCCUGUCUGCAGUGUGCUGCUUACUGGGGCAGCUCCUCCCAGGGCGUUUCAGAGCAGCAGAGAACACCUUGCUUUGUCCUUGUGCUGUGGGUCUGCUCUGCCUUGGAGAUGAGGAGGGAGGUGAACAGGGUCCAUGACUGUGACCAUUGGGAACGCACGGUGGGUGGUGGCCCUGCCAGUGCACACCUGGCCAGAGGUCACCACUCCCUGGCACAGGGCUUGCCUGGGCUCCCAGCUGUAGGAGGGGCACGAGGGUGGGCACAGAGGAGGUGAGGUCCCCCAGUGCUACGCUGGGUGCCCCAGGAGCACUGCACAGCCCUUGAUUCGUGGCACACUUGUGAGGAGUGGUGUCCUGGUGUGGAGCUUCUCCAUUUCCAAAGGCUGAGCAGAGUGUGAGUGUGUGAGCACGGGGAGGGCUAUGGGUGCAGGACCUGUGGCCAAGAGCAGGGAUCUGGGGGAGGGGGAGGCUUCAGCAAACAGCUCCUUACCAAAACAGCCCUGACCUUUGCAGGGCUGGAGCUGUCUGAUGCAACAGGCUGAACCUUUCCAGGCUUCAGCUCCAACUUGAAAUGCUUCAGAGCAAAAUUGAUGGCCACAGCACUGGCCCCAGAGCUUACAUCCAGCACUUGCCCAGCUGCUGCUGGGGAUGGGGAGAGGGUUCUAAGAGCUCAGUGUGGGAGCCACACUCUGUUGUUCUCUUGUGCAGCCUGAUCAGUGUUGGCUGAUGCCUGUGAGGGCUGGGUGCUGAGCUCCCCCGAGCCCUUUGGGGCCCAGAGGAAGAGCUGGGGGCACAGGAAGGGGUUGUGUUGUGCCAGCAUGGUUUAGAGGGGUGGGUGGAGGUAUUAAUUUUGACCAGAGGGAAGAGUCAGCAUGUCCUUGGUGGGAGCUCAUACCCAGUCCAUUGAAACCAAGUGGGAAGUCAUUUGCAGCACCUCUGGUGUUCAGGCAGGAGCCGCUGUGCCCUGGGGGAUCAGUGCUGAGAAGGCUCCUUGCUGCCUGGCUCUCUGGCAAACCAGCCUUAGUUACAGAGAUGCUGUUGUUUCUGUGUCCUGUGGUGAAUAAAAUUCAACAACUCUUUAUUUCUGAAUGACAGCCCAGGGACUGCACUUCUGCUCUGGCUCGGUGUGAAGUGGCUUCAUCCCAGCGCAGCUCCUCUGGGGCCUGAAGCCCUCGAUUCAUUAGUUGUCAGGCUUGUAGGUGGAUUCUGCAUUAGGCCUUUAAUUUAGUGUAUUGCCAUGGGCUACUGACCACAUGACACUGCUCAAAUGUGAGCAAAUCUAACGAGGAUCCAGGACUGCUCUUUAAUUUGGUGAGAAUAACAGAGUGAGCAUGGACCCGGAGAGUGUUAAUCAUGAAGGAAAACUGGCUGAAACCAGGUCAGCUGGUGCUGGUUCUCAGCACAGCAUGAUGGAGAGGGAGCACAGGGGGUGGAGGACUGGCAGUCCCACUCCUCCAGUGACAAGAGGCACCAUGGCCACACAGCCUUUACUGCUGCCUUUUCCCUCCCUGUAGCCGAGCACUGUGGCCCGUUUGGUGGCCAGGGUCUGUGGGGCUGCACUCAGGUCCCCAGCCCAAGGAGGUGCCCCAGGGUCUGGCAGUCCCCUCGUGCCCUUGGUGCCGUGGGAAGGGGCAGGUGCUGCUCCCUGGCUGUGACAGUCUGGGGGUGCUGGGUGUCCUUGCGGGAGCUGAUAGCAAAGGCCAGUCCCAGCUGCCACCUGCCUGUCCCUCGGUCCUGCGCUGAUCAUGUGGCACAAAGGCCCCGCAGUCCCCGGCUAGCAGUUCGUCCCCAUACUUAGAUUUGUUCUGUGUGAUAAACAAAUCCACGCUGCUCUCCUGCUGGCUAUUCCCACUCAGGGCUGGCUCCCCUCAGCACGUUUCACGUGGAUUUACUGUGUUAUCCUGGACUGCUGCCUGAACUUGGCUGGCUUCUUUAAACCAUCCUUUUUGGAGGGGUGGGCUUAGAGAGAGGGGCACAGGAACCCUCUGUGGUAAUUUCUGUUGACUGCAGUGACCAGCGAGGCAGAACUGAUCAACUGCAGGCUUCCCUGCUGCUGAGCUCUGCCAGCAAAGUGCUUACAUCUGCUUUUACACUAAUGGGAGCUUUAUGGACUGGUGUGUCCCCCCCAGCAGCAAAUUCCAGCAAGGUCAGAAUUGAGAAAGUUGCCACCUGACACCAUCCGUGAAGCCCUGAGCUGGCCGAGGGAGGCCAGGUUGCACAGAGGACUUUCUGGGGCAGCAGAUCUAAUGCUGUCACCUGCAACUGAUAUCCUGGAGGCCCCCCAAACGCCACUGCUGCCAUCCCACUGCCCAGCGGCACAGCUCCUCUGUGCUGGGCCGUGCUGCUGCAGGAGUGUGUGGAUGGCUGCCAGGUCAAGCAAAGCCCUGAGCUGCUUGGCACACAGGGAGCCAUGGUGGCUGUCCUGGCAGAGUGAGCUGCUCUCUGUGCACACCCAGAAGGGGAUGAUGUGCUGCUCCUGCUCAUGGUCUGGGAGCGUGGCUGUGCUGCCCCUGGCAGGUGGGUGCCACGUGAACAGGGUGGCUCCAGGCAGCAGUGGACCGGGACGUGCUGUGCACAGGGAGCACAGGUGCUGUGUGGUGAGUGCCCCAGGUACUGAAACCAUGACAUGAUUGCUUUGAGGCCCUGUAUUUUCCUGCAUUUAAUGAAUGGCCAUUACACAUUAAUGGCUAUUAAGGUGAUUAAUAUUUACUUUGUGUGGAAGAGAGUUUGCAGAAACAUAACUUCCUUCUGUGCAAGUUACUGUUCAUUUUUCAGGACAUACAAUCAGCCUGGACAAGGCCUGCUGAACUGUGGCUGCUUUGGCAGCCUGAGUGUGAAGGAUUAUGGAAGAUCUCCUAUUAACUGUCUCUUUUUAAAUCUAAUGUUGCAGGGCCCUAAUUGCUUUGACUUGAGUAAGGAGAGGACGGUUUCUAUAAGGGCAUCCUGUGGUGUGCGUGUCUGCUGGCCCUGGACAGGGCACUUGUGCUCAGCUCCCCGUCCUCCCUGGUGCUGGUGUGUUUGUGCUGUUGUACAUCACAUAUUGCUCUCCUGGGAUGUUGUGUGAUGCAGAUGGUGAUUCCCACUCCGACGGUGCUCCCACGCAACACCACACUGGCCUUGCUGCUGACUGUCUCCUGGAUGCCAAGAACCAUCUCCCACUGCCAGGCUGGGCAUUGUCCUGUUCAGAGCUGCUGCCCUGGGUGGGCUCUGUGGCAGCAGCGCUGACCUGCACCUAAGGAAGAGUCAUGCCCAGUGCCAUGUUUGGUACAAGGUGAGCCCAUGGGCAGGUUCACCAUGGCAAUGCUGGUGGAGAGGCUUCUCCCAGGCCAGCCUCAGCCCCUUGGCCAGAGACAGCAGGGCUGUGCUGGGGAGGGAAUGAAUGACCCAUGCUCCUGUAAACUGAAACAGGGGACUGAAAUGCCACAUGCCCGCCACAAAAUUUUUCCAGGGCACAGCAGAGCCAUGUGUAGUGCUUCAGCCCUCUUGUCCAGGGCACUGAGGGCUCUUGGUCUGAGUGCAUGAAAGAUCAGGAAUUUGUCUCUGGGGCCUUCUGUAGCAGCACCAUGGCCUUCUCUCUUCCUUGCAUACCCCAUGUGUACACUUGUGUGCUUAGUUCUGCUUGGUGGGGAAAAAGAACCUCUGUGGACCAGGGGAAGGUCUUUGAUAGUAGAAGAUGAGCCCAUGAAAAGCAAGUCGUCAGUUCUGUCCAUGAGCAGUAUCACAAAUUGCUUUUCUUCCCUCAAGCAUCCUUCCCUCCUAGGCCUUGGCCAAAGGGCACUACCACUGGUUGCAGCAUCAGGUCUGGGCAUUUUCAAUAAAGCUCUCUGCCAUCAUUGCUCUUAACAUGUGUGGGCAGAUGCAAAGUGCUCUGGGGCUGCCAUGAAAUGCAGUGAAAGUGUAGAGGUCAAUGAACAUGUUCCCAUUUUAGCUUUUGUGGAGCAGAAAGUGGCUUGUUUGGGCAUGGUCAUGCCAUGGAGCAGUGGUAGGGCUGGGAGAAGCCAGCCUAGGUCAGUCAUCCCUAGCAGCCUGUGUCCUCUGGAUGUUGAGUAUCAGCCAAGAAGGGAUGCUGCUGAGUGCUUUUCUGCUGGGUGCAGGUGGUAAAGAGUUGAAAGGCACCAGCCCUGCUUGCUGACAGCUCCCGCUCAACAGGAUGUUUGGGAUUUCUGUGGAGCAGCCACAGACAGACACGAAGCACUGCUGGUGGUGCAUGGAGAAAAACCUUCCCUGUGCUCGGGGAGGGGCACCAGGGCAUGUCCUGCAGCUCAUGUAUUUCUCCUUGACUGAUCUCUGAUUUGGCACUGAUGAUUAGAAUGGUUGUGUGUAUUGGAGAGUCACACUGAGGGGGGUGCAUUUGACUUGAACCUCCCUCCAAGCUUCCUGCUGCCCACAGUGUGCAGCCCCCUGGGGAGAGCUGCCCCCGGGCAGAGCCUGAGCGAGGGCCAUGGAGCCUGGGAGUGGAUGUGGCAGCUCUGCCAGUGGACGAGGGCUGGGAGCGAGCAGCUUGGCCGUGCUGCAGCGGCCUCCAUGUCCCUGUGGUGUGAGCCCAGCCAGCGUGGCCUCGGGGCUUCUCCCGAGGCAGCGCUGGUAUAAUAACACUGAUGAAAAGCUGAUUAAUCCUUGUGAACGAGCCGCAAUAGCUUCCCUCUAGAACUGAAGAGAUUACCACUGAUUUGUCAUUCUGAUUGUUUCAAAGAGACGUGCAAUUAGUUGCUCUAAUUUAGCUCCACUGCCGCUGGCUCGUGACAAGGGCGCCGCAAUCAGUGGGGCUGCGAUGGCAGCCACUGGUGGUGCAGCUGUGCCGACACCAUUUCACGGGCGCAGGGCGGCCGCCAAAAUGGUGGAGCAUCACGUGCUCUGUUCUGGUCUGGUGCAAAAACAUUUUCGAAGGAGCAGCUCCCCUCGGUGCUGGGUGGCCCUGGAGCAGACCUGGCUCAGGGUGUCCCGCUCCGAGCCGUGCCGGUGGAGAUGGAGCUCAAGGGCUCCUGUGCCGUGUCCGAUCAGGGAUCUCAUCCAUGCUGGUUGUUCAGGAGACUCUUGGGAAUUCAGGGAGAGCAGCGAGUGCUGGCCUAAAACCCCCACGAGGUGAAGGUGCACUUAGUUUGCUUAUAAAAUACAGAGUCAUAAGGAAACUUUGUUUUCUGAUUCUGCUCCCUCCAGCUAUUGGCCCUCUUUGCCAGGUGCAGUAAAACCAGUCUCAGGUACAGAAGAGGGGGGGUAUUUGUUUGAGGUUACCCCUUUCUGAGGACUGUCUUUGCUUUGGAAAAGGUACAAAGCUGCCACAGAAAAUGAGGAGCUUGUGGCUCAGCCCCCCAGCUCGCUGCACUGGGUCAGCAGCCAACCCCCUCUGGGCAGAGAGGAGGGAACACAUGGGAUUUCAAAAUGUGUCCAUUUCAGUGAGACAAAUCACUUAAAAAUUCAAUUCAAAAUGAAGAAAAUAAAAAUGCUUUAAAAACAAAA